UACGAAGGGGGCUAGCGUUGCUCGGAAUUACUGGGCGUAAAGCGCACGUAGGCGGCUUCUUAAGUCGGUGGUGAAAGUCCUGGAGCUCAACUCCAGAACUGCCUUCGAUACUGGGAGCUCGAGUCCGGGAGAGGUGAGUGGAACUGCGAGUGUAGAGGUGAAAUUCGUAGAUAUUCGCAAGAACACCAGUGGCGAAGGCGGCUCGACUGGCCCGGUACGUGACGCUGAGGUGCGAAAGCG
rnacentral:rRNA from 1 species